UAGGGGGCAUAGAUAGUGUUUCUGACAAACACAUCUCUUUUUUUUAUGUAAGUUAAAGUCACAUUGUAUCAUACAAUUGGUCAACUAUAUUUAUGUGCUUUUUAACACUAUUUAUUAUUAAAAUGUCAAUAUUUUCAUUCUGCCAUUUCAAGUAUUUAAAAUAUUUAAAAACUUAAUUUUUUAAGGAACCACUAUGAAUAUGAAUUCUCAACUUAACAUCAACAGGCCCCAAUAACUUUGAAAUUUCUUUCUUGCGAUUGGUCUCGUGCUGAAAUUAAGUCAAAUUUGGAAUUGAUGUUGCAUUUAAGCUGUGACUUUGAUUCCUGAUUGCUCCUAUCAAGACUUUAGUUGAUACAGUCUCUGGGCAAUCAUUUCUCUUCAAACUGCUGAAAAAAAAUAAUCUCGCCAUGGCGUAGUGAAUAUGGUUAUUGCUUAGGGACUGGGAGGUCAUGGGUUUGAUCCCUAAUGUAGGAGCGUUCUUUAGAUCUCUCCCAUAGACAUCAAGUACUGGUUCUACCCAGGUAACAAACUAAAAGCUUUUCAAUAAGCAUUAGGCGUUUGAUGCAAUGGAUCUCAAAUAAAUAGGUUAAUUUAACAUUCUUUUGUUUUUCUCUGAAGCAUGACUCAACGGUAGCAGCAUUAGGUUUAACGUUCUUUUGUUUUGCUCUGAAGCAUGACACAAAGGUAGCAGCGUUAGGUUUAACGUUCUUUUGUUUUGCUCUGAAGCAUGACACAAAGGUAGCAGCGUUAGGUUUAACGUUCUUUUGUUUUGCUCUGAAGCAUGACUCAACAGUAGCAGCAUUAGGUUUAACGUUCUUUUGUUUUGCUCUGAAGCAUGACACAAAGGUAGCAGCGU